UACGUAGGGUGCAAGCGUUAAUCGGAAUUACUGGGCGUAAAGCGUGCGCAGGCGGUUAUGUAAGUCAGAUGUGAAAUCCCCGGGCUCAACCUGGGAACUGCAUUUGUGACUGCAUCGCUGGAGUGCGGCAGAGGGGGAUGGAAUUCCGCGUGUAGCAGUGAAAUGCGUAGAUAUGCGGAGGAACACCGAUGGCGAAGGCAAUCCCCUGGGCCUGCACUGACGCUCAUGCACGAAAGCGUGGGGAGCAAACAGG
rnacentral:rRNA from 1 species